UAGAUACCCUAUUAUUCUACAACCUACACCUUGCCAGAAUAAUACGAACUCCGUUUAAAAUUCAAAGAACUUGGCGGUGUCUAACCAAAACAGGGGAACCUGUCCUUUAAUUCGAUAAUCCACGUCAUCAUUACCAUCUUUAACUAAGCCUGUGUACUGCCGUCGUCAGCUCACCUCUAAAAGAGUGUGCAACAAAUAUUACUCAUCCUACGUCAGGUCAAAGUGCAGCUUAUAAGAUGGAAGAGAUGGGUUACAACCUAAAUAAAGACCACGAAACCUUAAAACAAAUUAAAGGCUGAAGGCGGACUUGUAAGUAAUAAAUAUAAAGUAUAUUUAUGAAUAUGAAUCUAAGACAUGCACACAUCGCCCGUCACUCUCGCUUUAAAGUGAGAUAAGUC
rnacentral:rRNA from 1 species